CAUGGUAGGGUCACUACUGCAAAGAUAGCCUUUAAUGACAGUUUUUUUAUGGCAUUUUAGCAAAAACGUCAUCAAAAACUUUUUAAUGACGUUUUCAGGUUGAAACGUCAUGAAUAAUUUGAUAGUAAAAGCUUUAUGACACUUUUGAAACGCCAUAAAAUUUUUUAAACAACAUGACGUUCCGAAAACGCCAUAAAAAAAAAUAAAAGAUUGCAUUUAACAAACGCCGUAAUCAUAGACUAAUCCAUGACGUUUAUAAACGUCAUACUAAAGAAAUAAUAAACGGCGUCCGUUAGACGCCAUAAUUAUAGGCUAAUCCAUGGCGUUUGUAAACGUCAUACUUGAAAAAAUUUAAUUUUUUUUUAAAUUGCCCCCGCGCCCAGCCUAUUUUCUUGUUCACACAUUCCAAUCAACUUUAAUUUUCUUUUUCUUCUAUUUUCUUCUCUGUUCUCGACUUCUCUCUCCGUCUCUCCCUCCCACAACCUUUUUCUUCUCGAUCUGGAGCAAGAAGCAGAAACAACUCGAGUUUCAUCCUCGGUCUCAAUCCAUCGUCUCUUGCUUCCUGAAGAUGUUACGGCGAGGCCGAUCCCCAUGUCAAGUCACUGUUCUCUUGCAUCAAGCAGAAGAAGAAGAGGCUGACUAGCUCUCUGUCAAAAUUUCACAGAUUUUCUUCACGAUGAAAAUCCCUAUGUGAUUGGGUCUAUUUGAUAUCUCAUUGAAAAUCCUCGACCUGAACUCCUCAAUCCUCACUAGCGGCGCCAUCUUAUCUUCUUAAUUCCUGUUUUUCGACUUCAGAGAUUGAAGAAGACUCGGUGUUCUUUUCUCCUCCAUAGCCAAGGUCCAGAUCGAUGGCCAAGGUCCAGAUCGGUUGAUGUAAUUAUUUCCUCUUCUCUGGGUUAUCGGAUUUCGUUUGAAAUCCGAGUAUGGUGCCAUGGUGGUUGAAGUCUGAGCACGAUCUCCGCCGCCACAGCAAGGACUAGAUCGAUUUAUUUUUCUGAGAUAUUGGGUAUGAUGAUGCAUGAAGACUCGUACUUGAUCUUCUGGGAUAGUUUCUUUGCUAGUUUUUGCUGGGAUGGGGAAAUUACGAUUGGGGCUGGAUUGGCUUCAUACCCAGUUGACACAGUGCGCAAAAGGGUGAUGAUGAUGUUUGAUAUUUAAUUUCAUAUUAUUUCGCUGUCUGGGAAUGCCUGAAAAAUCGUAGCUUUGAGAUAGACGAAAAUUUCAUGCUUUAGGCAAGAGGAGUUCUCUUCAGAAACCCUGAAAGCUGAGUACAUUGGACACUUGGUGCCGGAGGAAGUAGUCAAGCUGGAAUUUGAUGGUUUGAAGGAGGUCAAAAGGGACUGGGGAUUAACUCUUAAAGAGGUCAUAUUUCCUUGUUUUACCAAGUUUCAUGUUUGUGCUAUUUUCUUAAUCGUUGAAUGUCCAGUGGCUGCUGUUGAAUAAAAGAACUGAAUAUUAAAUAGCUUGUUUAGGUAGAGAGAAUUUUGUAUGACAUAUGAUUGAGAUUAUUAGGUAUGAUGAAUUGGGUUGAAGGUUGGGUUUUGGAACUGGACGGAGGUGCUGAUCAAAAGAUAGAAGGCAAUAAUGCUAGUGCUGAUGAUGCAAUCAUGCUUGACAAGGAUGACUAUGUAUCUGAAACAAAUGCUACGAACAUUGUAAGUCUAUGGUUCACUUAUAUGGAUAAUAGAUGGAAUACUUGCAUGAUAUGUAUAGAUGGUUACACAAUAUAACAGUAUAAUUAUAUAAAGUCCUUAAGAACAUAUGUAGCAGAAAGCAACUUCGCUACCACAUUUUUACUUCUUGAAAUAUCAUGUCAAUCUUGUUUGAUAAAGCUCUUUGUCUGAAGAUGUUAUUUGUUAUUCUUUAGAUUAGCUCUUUGUAUAUGUGCUUGUUACGUGCUUGUUUCUCUGUUUUCAUGUUUUUCAGCAUAUUAAUCUUUUGGGUUUUUAAGCUGCUGGUAAAUAUCCUUACUUUCCUGGCCAAGAACCCACUUUGCCUGGGGAUAUCGAUUUGUUGCUUCAGGGGGAAACAAGCUCGCUGGGAGAGAACAUUUCUUUGUCUGCAUCAGGGAAAACUGGUGAAUACAGCAUGCUAUAAAUGUCAAGAGCAGUUGCUAUUCUCCAUUCCAUAUACUCUGGUUUAGCUAGUCUAAAGCAACCUGUGUUAUCUUUUUUUUUUCCCCUAAGCUUACUUGUUUGAGAAUUUAUUAAUAAAAUUUACAAUGACGGAAGUAUUCUAGAUUGGAUAUUUCUGAUUUUAUUGAUUCAGAGUUACAUAGUAAUAGAAUUUUAUCA